rnacentral:rRNA from 1 species
GUGGGGAAUAUUGGACAAUGGGGGGAACCCUGAUCCAGCCAUGCCGCGUGUGUGAAGAAGGCCUUUUGGUUGUAAAGCACUUUAAGCGAGGAGGAGGCUACCGAGAUUAAUACUCUUGGAUAGUGGACGUUACUCGCAGAAUAAGCACCGGCUAACUCUGUGCCAGCAGCCGCGGUAAUACAGAGGGUGCAAGCGUUAAUCGGAUUUACUGGGCGUAAAGCGAGCGUAGGUGGCCAAUUAAGUCAAAUGUGAAAUCACCGAGCUUAACUUGGGAAUUGCAUUCGAUACUGGUUGGCUAGAGUAUUGGAGAGGAUGGUAGAAUUCCAGGUGUAGCGGUGAAAUGCGUAGAGAUCUGGAGGAAUACCGAUGGCGAAGGCAGCCAUCUGGCCUAAUACUGACACUGAGGUGCGAAAGCAUGGGGAGCAAACAGGAUUAGAAACCCGGGUAGUCC